rnacentral:rRNA from 1 species
UACGAAGGGGGCUAGCGUUGCUCGGAAUUACUGGGCGUAAAGCGCACGUAGGCGGCUCUUUAAGUCUCUUGGUGAAAGGCUGGGGCUCAACCCCAUGCAUGCCGGGGAUACUGGGGGGCUUGAGACAGGUAGAGGCCAGCGGAAUUCCGGGUGUAGCGGUGGAAUGCGUAGAGAUCCGGAAGAACACCGGAGGCGAAGGCGGCUGGCUGGACCUGAUCUGACGCUGAGGUGCGAAAGCGUGGGGAGCGAACAGG